UACGUAGGGGGCAAGCGUUAUCCGGAUUUACUGGGUGUAAAGGGAGCGUAGACGGAAUGGCAAGUCAGAUGUGAAAGGCAGGGGCUUAACCCCUGGAGUGCAUUUGAAACUGCCAGUCUGGAGUGCCGGAGAGGUAAGCGGAAUUCCUAGUGUAGCGGUGAAAUGCGUAGAUAUUAGGAGGAACACCAGUGGCGAAGGCGGCUUACUGGACGGUAACUGACGUUGAGGCUCGAAAGCGUGGGGAGCAAACAGG
rnacentral:rRNA from 1 species